GAUGAACGCUGACAGAAUGCUUAACACAUGCGAGUCUUUGGCGAAGCUGUGCUCGCACAGCCUAGCCAAGGCGGACGGGUGAGUAACGCGUAAGGAACUUGCCCUGCAGUCAGGGAUAACAGACGGAAACGACUGAUAAGACCUGGUAAAGUCAGGCGGACUCAUGUCCAGCCUGAUGAAAAGAGAUGCUGCAGGAGAGCCUUGCGUCCUAUUAGCUUGUUGGUGGGGUAACGGCCCACCAAGGCGAUGAUAGGUAGCCGGCCUGAGAGGGUGGACGGCCACAAGGGGACUGAGAUACGGCCCUUACUCCUACGGGAGGCAGCAGUGGUGAAGAUUGGACAAUGGUGGCAACCCUGAUCCAGCAAUUCUGUGUGCACGAUGAAGGUUUUCGGAUUGUAAAGGGCUUUCAGCAGGGAAGAAAAAAAUGACGGUACCUGCAGAAGAAGCGACGGCUAAAUACGUG
rnacentral:rRNA from 1 species